UCCUGCCUGCCCAGUGAAUAUUUCAACGGCCGCGGUAUUUUGACCGUGCAAAGGUAGCGUAAUCACUUGUCUUUUAAAUAAAGACCUGUAUGAAUGGCAAAACGAGGGCUUAGCUGUCUCCCCUUUCUAGUCAGUGAAAUUGAUCUGCCCGUGCAGAAGCGGACAUAAAACUACAAGACGAGAAGACCCUUUGGAGCUUAAGAUCCCGGACCACCUAUGUUAAUAAACCAGAUUAAUAAGAUUAAACUAAAUAGCUUUGGUCCCCAUCUUCGGUUGGGGCGACCGCGGAGGAAAACAAAGCCUCCAUGUGGAAUGGGGCUAUCGCCCCAAAAUUAAGAGGGACACCUCUAAAUCGCAAAACAUUUGACCAAAAAGAUCCGGCCCCCGGGCCGAUCAACGAACCAAGUUACCCUAGGGAUAACAGCGCAAUCCCCUCCCAGAGUCCCUAUCGACAAGGGGGUUUACGACCUCGAUGUUGGAUCAGGACAUCCUAAUGGUGCAGCCGCUAUUAAGGGUUCGUUUGUU
rnacentral:rRNA from 1 species